CCGCCCGCGCGCUUCCGGGGCGCUCUGGGCGCCGGAGGUCCGCGCCUCGGUGGCCUUCCCACCGCGGCCCCUCGACUCCCGCCGGGAGAGCAGGCGCGCAGGCGGGGUGCUGGGCGGCGUCGCGGGGACUGCGAGUUGCCCUGACGGCUCGAGAGCAGCGCGGUAGCUCGUGAGGAGGGGCUCUUCCGUAGCGCACCGAGCCCAGCACCCAGCCCACUCUCCGGGAGGCCCCUGAAGGCGGUGUGGCCGUGGCAGUUCCGCAGAGGACCAGCUAGGGUCCAAACCUCCCCGCCUGACACCCAGGAGGAGCUAACCGGCUGACGGCGAGGACUGCACCGGUGGAUCCCAGCUCUCCGGGCAAGCACGGGAAGCCGCAGUGCAGUGUUGACUCGGGCGCUCUCUGCCCUGGGGGUGCUCUCUGCUCGAGCCCUUCUUAGCUUUCACUCGUAAUACAUUCCUCUUGCUUGGCUUUUCGUGUCUGACUUUAAAAUUUUCUUCCGACUCCAGAACUAGAUUUGGAGUUCAAGCUCGACUGGGACCAGCGCCACCCACCUACAGGACAGGUAUUUCAACUUCACCUUGUUCAUCUUCAGGCUUUGGCUGAGAUUAUGUCCAAUUUAGCCUCUGAAAUCUUGCCUUGGAUUUCUCUGGGCACCAUUCCUUUAUAUGUCACGCCCAUGCUCUGCCUGCUUGGGUCAGCUUGUUGCAUUUGUUCAGCUUUUCAUGCAGUUGGCGACUGCAGUGGCAUCUUGUGUUUUCUAGCUGGCACACAAGCUGAUACUCUCUUGCCUCUUGUAGCAUCCUUUUUUUAAAUAUAGUCUUUUUUUUGAAUUUUUUAAAUAUUUACUUUUUAGUUUUCGGCGGACACAACAUCUUUGUUUGUAUGUGGUGCUGAGGAUCGAACCCGGGCCGCAUGCAUGCCAGGCGAGCACGCUACCACUUGAGCCACAUCCCCAGCCCCUGUAACAUCCUUUUGAGCAAAGUCGCUGCAGAGGCAGUAAGACCAUCUCCACCAUUGCGGCUUUUGUCUUAUGGCAUACACCUGAGCAUUAUCACCAUCUCCUUUUUUUUUUUUUUUUUUACUUUAUUAUUAAUUAAUUAUUUGUAUGUGGUGCUGAGGAUCGAACCCAGGGUGAGGCGAGCGCUCUACUGUUGAGCCACAACCCCAGCCCUCACCAUCUCCUUUUAGAAGGUAUAUCCAGAAUCUGGAGGGUCAUUUGUUCACCAUCUUUAUCUACUUACGAAUCACUCAUAACAUUCCUGUGCUUAGCUUUUCAUGUCUGACUUUAGAUUUUCUUUCGCCAGGACACAGAACUGAGGUUUGGAGCUCCUGCUCCUUACUCUCCUGUGACAAGGUGGUGUCCAGGACAAGAGCUGAGAGAUUGACCUGCAGCUGGGGAGGAGGAGUCCUCUAAACAGGACCACCAGGGCCCUGGUGGACAGCAAGCCUGGGACAACUCAAAAUCCUCAUGUGGGUUCAGUUCCUGAGCAGGAGAGUGGGCUGCAGACUGAUUGUCCCCCUUCCUCUGGGGUCCUGACCCCAGUGGUCCUGGGGGCUGCCCAUCGUGCCUUAUGAGGCCUGUGCUGGCUCCAACUGGACACUGACUUUGGAGGUGGCAAAUACUGCUGGUGGGGAGAAGGUGGAGCAGGCGACCAGGCCCCCUGGAGUGCAUUAGUGGUUGGACAGGGCAGCUGUGGUGACUUCGAGGUUGGCACUGCAGGCUGAGUCGGGCUCUGGCCCCUGGUGUGCUCUCAGUGGGACACUAAACCUUGGCUGCCUUUCUGGCCAGUUAAAUAAACCUGGAACUGGUAAAGUUUCAUAAUCAAUGUAAAUAUCCAAAUUGCAUUAUUUACUGAAUAAAAU
rnacentral:lncRNA from 1 species